GAGCUAUGGGGAGUGGGGCACGAUUUGGUUGGGGAAAGAAACUCACACCACAUCCCCAAAGUGCUCCCUCACCAUGGCUGCCUUUCUCUCCUUCCAUGAGGUUUUGUUCUCCCUUUGUUGUCUGCCAAGGAUGAUGAUAAUAUUGCUAUUUUUGAUGCAUGUGAUUAAAAAGAGAAGUCAAUAGCUUCUGAGAACAGAUUAAGCUCUCCUGAAAGUCUGCUUAUCUGCCUAAAACCAAAAUAAACAACAACAAGAAGAAGAAUAGUGUUUUGUUUUUAUUCUUGUGAUAUAAAUGUUCCAAGCGUGGUUCUUUCCUGAUGCCGGUGUAAAUCAGGAGCAAUUUAAGGAAAGUCUGGCCCUCUUCUGGGAGUUACAGGGAAUGAAGUUUUUAUCCUGGACUGUUUGAUGGGAGGCCAGCUGGGCACCAGGACAGGUCAAUGAAGACCCCAGCAGAGGAAGGGGCAGGAAGCCAAAGGGGUGGCUCUUCCACUGGAGGCUCAAGGAGGAGCUGGAAAACCAUUUUCUCCUGGCCCUGUGCAGGAACAGGCCUCAGUGGUGAAUGGACUGAAUGCGAUGCAAAGCUUGAAGAUCUCCUGGUGCUGGGCUUUGGUGUGUUCCUUCUGGAAGGAAACCACAGGUUGAGAUUGAUGCCCACACAAUGCCUUCCUCGGGAUUUUCCUCUCAGGAGAUACCCGAACGCCUCGUGGUGUGCUGUACCGAGUGAGGAAGGAGGAGGUUUAUCAGUGUCUUCAGUCCUCCGCUGCCGUCAAUAUGGAAACCCAAAUGUUAUCAGCCAACAAAAGCACAGCAGGAGUGGGCUGAAAACUUUGAACUCUUCAGGGAAAAAAAAAAAUGUCAUUUUAUACAAAUUCCAUUAAAAUACAGGUUCUUUGUGUUCCCGGGGCUGUAAGGGAGGAGCCUCUUUCCCUUCGCGGAAUGGAAGAAAACAUUGCUGAUAGCUGCGUGAACUGAUGAAAGGGUGGGCAGGGCUUUUAAACAGACUGGGAAAAGGACUCCUCAUCCAUCUAUUUUCUGCCUUCAAAUGAACAAACGGGAAAAAUAAACACGUAUGGUGUCUCGGUCCAUUAUUCUCCCUUCAUUGUCAAAGCAGAUGC